rnacentral:sRNA from 1 species
UAAAAGAGAAGGGUAUGAGGGUGGACAAUGAAGUACUAAUCUAUUGAUUCCGGGAAAUUGAAUUUUUAUUCGAACGGGAAAUAGGAUUAGUCUGUCCACUUUUAAAUAGUUCCUUCCUCUUUACACGUGUGAGAGGCUUUUUAGCGAACGUUAAAUUUGGAUGAAAAGUGACUGAUCCUUCCGAUUAUUUAUCGGAGGGAUUUUUU